rnacentral:rRNA from 1 species
AGCAGCCGCGGUAAUUCCAGCUCCAAUAGCGUAUAUUAAAGUUGUUGCAGUUAAAAAGCUCGUAGUUGAAUUUCGGGGUUUAUCCGUUGGUCGGGCUUUUGGGUCUGUACUGGCGUGAUGGAUUCCUACCUUCUGAAUAACCAGCAUGUCAUUAAUUUGGUGCGCUGGGGAAGCAGGACUGUUACCUUGAAAAAAUUAGAGUGCUUAAAGCAGGCUAUUGCCUGAAUACAUUAGCAUGGAAUAAUGAAAUGGGACGCAUGGUUCUAUUUUGUUGGUUUCUAGGAUCACCGUAAUGAUUAAUAGGGAUAGUUGGGGGCAUUAGUAUUCAAUUGUCAGAGGUGAAAUUCUUGGAUUUAUUGAAGACUAACUUCUGCGAAAGCAUUCGCCAAGGAUGUUUUCAUUAAUCAAGAACGAAAGUUAGGGGAUCGAAGACGAUCAGACACCGUCGUAGUCUUAACCAUAAACUAUGCCGACUAGGGAUCGGACGAUGUUAAUUUUUUAAUGACUCG